GACGAACGCUGGCGGCGUGCUUAACACAUGCAAGUCGAACGGAAAGGCCCUGCUUUUGUGGGGUGCUCGAGUGGCGAACGGGUGAGUAACACGUGAGUAACCUGCCCUUGACUUUGGGAUAACUUCAGGAAACUGGGGCUAAUACCGGAUAGGAUCUCCUGCUGCAUGGUGGGGGUUGGAAAGUUUCGGCGGUUGGGGCUGGACUCGCGGCUUAUCCGCUUGUUGGGGGAGUAGUGGCUUACCAAGGCUUUGAAGGGUAGCCGGCCUGAGAGGGUGACCGGCGACAUUGGGACUGAGAUACGCACCAGACUCCUACGGGAGGCAGCAGUGGGGAAUAUUGCACAAUGGGCGGAAGCCUGAUGCAGCAACGCCGCGUGCGGGAUGACGGCCUUCGGGUUGUAAACCGCUUUCGCCUGUGACGAAGCGUGAGUGACGGUAAUGGGUAAAGAAGCACCGGCUAACUACGUG
rnacentral:rRNA from 1 species